UUCGGGGGCAGAGUGACAGGUGGUGCAUGGUUGUCGUCAGCUCGUGUCGUGAGAUGUUGGGUUAAGUCCCGCAACGAGCGCAACCCUUGAUCUUAGUUGCCAGCAUUCAGUUGGGCACUCUAAGGUGACUGCCGGUGACAAACCGGAGGAAGGUGGGGAUGACGUCAAAUCAUCAUGCCCCUUAUGACCUGGGCUACACACGUGCUACAAUGGACAGAACAAAGGGCAGCGAAACCGCGAGGUUAAGCCAAUCCCACAAAUCUGUUCUCAGUUCGGAUCGCAGUCUGCAACUCGACUGCGUGAAGCUGGAAUCGCUAGUAAUCGCGGAUCAGCAUGCCGCGGUGAAUACGUUCCCGGGUCUUGUACACACCGAGA
rnacentral:rRNA from 1 species